CGGACGGGUGAGUAAUGUAUGGGGAUCUGCCUGAUGGCGGGGGAUAACUACUGGAACGGUAGCUAAUACCGCAUAAUGUCUGCGGCCAAAGCGGGGGACCGUCCGGGCCUCGCGCCAUCAGAUGAACCCAUAUGGGAUUAGCUAGUAGGUAAGGUAACGGCUUACCUAGGCGACGAUCCCUAGCUGGUCUGAGAGGAUGACCAGCCACACUGGAACUGAGACACGGUCCAG
rnacentral:rRNA from 1 species